GUAGGGUGCAAGCGUUAAUCGGAAUUACUGGGCGUAAAGCGUGCGCAGGCGGUUUUGUAAGUCUGUCGUGAAAGCCCCGGGCUUAACCUGGGAAUUGCGAUGGAGACUGCAAGGCUUGAAUCUGGCAGAGGGGGGGUAGAAUUCCACGUGUAGCAGUGAAAUGCGUAGAGAUGUGGAGGAACACCGAUGGCGAAGGCAGCCCCCUGGGUCAAGAUUGACGCUCAUGCACGAAAGCGUGGGGGGAGCAAACAGGAUUAGAUACCCUGGUAGUCCACGCCCUAAACGAUGUCUACUAGUUGUCGGGUCUUAAUUGACUUGGUAACGCAGCUAACGCGUGAAGUAGACCGCCUGGGAGUACGGUCGCAAGAUUA
rnacentral:rRNA from 1 species